GGCUCUUUUCCUGUCUGGCUGCUUUUUGGGUGCUAGAGAUAAGCUGUAAGCCCCUGAAUGGGGAGAGAGCUUAGGCCCUCCCCACCUGAGGCGGACAAGUGGCCUCUCCCUCUAUUCUUUGCCCUUUUGCAUUUGCUCUUUCUUGUUUUAGGUGGAUAAAUAUGAGGGAGGGCUACAACCUUGUGAGCUGCAAAAGGCUGGAAUAGUGAACACCCUAAAAUGCCCAUGGCUGGAAUCUAUGCUGAGAUUUGCUGAAAGUUAGACAAUGAAGAGCAAAGUUCCAAGUGACCUGCUUGACCCAGCAUAAAUCAAAGGAAGUGUCUCAUCACUAAGUUUCCAGAACUACUGACCUGGAAGGAAACUAGAGUAUCACCCAGUCCAAUUCCCUCACUUCACAGAAGAAAAAAACAGGCCCACAGAGAUGAAGUGACGGCGAGAGACACACAGCAAGUUAGCAAUAAAGUGAAGACAAAAACCCAGGUCUAUGGGAUGGUACGGAAGAAAUUUGAAUUCAGAAAACUUCCAUUCAAAGCCUGGUUUUGCCAUUUACCACCUGUGAGACCUUAGAUCUUCAAGAACUUUCCCAGAAAAGUGCCUCUACUCAUCACCACAUGGACCUUCAUCAAAAAAUAUAUCAACCUUGUCCUACGGAUAUUUCAAGAUCCAAAGGAUUUAUUAUUUAUUAUUGAGGUUACAGAGAAAAUACAAAGAAUAAAUGAAGUUGCUGGUGUUUCUAGGAGUCCAACCAGGACAACAGUGGGGUGGGGGGUGGGGCAAAGAUCUGCUCACAUAAACCUCUCACCUUUCCUGCCUCUAGGGCAGAAGAAUCAAGAAAGAUGACCAACAUUCUGAAUGCUAUUCAAACAGAUUUAAAUGUAAUUGGGAAAUAUUCAAUAAAAUAAAAUACAACAAAACAUAAAUAACAUUAGCAUGUGGUUUU